GCACACUUGGUGCUGCCACUGAUGAAUGCCAAAGGGGGAAAGCCUUUGCCUCCCUCCAUCUCUUGUUGUGUCUUGCAAAUAUGGGCACCUUGGGCUUUAGCUGGAAACUAAUUGAUGUCCUCUGGCCUCUUUCCUAGGGAUGAUGGUAGAUUCUCUGAUUCCAUUCCAAUCUCCCCACCCAUGAUAUCUGUAGCCAGUUUCCCCACUAAGUUAUCCAAGAAGCAAGCAACCUCACCAAGGCAAGCAUUGUCCUUGUUCCCCUUAGAGUCUCCAGAACAAACUACAAUCUCAGAGGAGGAGAGACCAGGGUGAAGGAGGGACUAAAGGCAGCUGCGUCGGAACCUGGAAGGUUCCAUAGGUCAGAAGCCUGAGAUGAGUCUCACUGGGCUUAAAUCAAGGAUUGAUGUCAGCGGAGCUGCAUUCCUUGCUGGAGGCUCUGGGGAGAAAUCAUUCUCUUUUCCAGCUUCUAGAAGCUGCCUACACUCCUUGGUCAUGGUGCCCUUCCAUCUUCAA